GAGUCCGCGUUUCAUUAGCUACUUGGCGGGGUAACGGCCCACCAAGGCAACGAUGGAUAGCCGGUCUGAGAGGAUGACCGGCCACACUGGAACUGGAACACGGUCCAGACUCCUACGGGAGGCAGCAGUGGGGAAUAUUGCGCAAUGGGCGAAAGCCUGACGCACCGACGCCGCGAGAGGGAUGAAGGCCUUCGGGUCGUAAACCUCUGUCAGGGGGGAAGAAGUGUGCUUGUGCUAAUCAGCAGGCAUUUGACGGUACCCCCAAAGGAAGCACCGGCCAACUCCGUGCCAGCAGCCGCGGUAAU
rnacentral:rRNA from 1 species